GCAAAACGCGAAGAACCUUACCCACCUUUGACAUGUACGGAAUCCUUUAGAGAUAGAGGAGUGCUCGAAAGAGAGCCGUAACACAGGUGCUGCAUGGCUGUCGUCAGCUCGUGUCGUGAGAUGUUGGGUUAAGUCCCGCAACGAGCGCAACCCUUGCCAUUAGUUGCUACAUUUAGUUGAGCACUCUAAUGGGACUGCCGGUGACAAACCGGAGGAAGGUGGGGAUGACGUCAAGUCCUCAUGGCCCUUAUAGGUGGGGCUACACACGUCAUACAAUGGCUGGUACAAAGGGUUGCCAACCCGCGAGGGGGAGCUAAUCCCAUAAAGCCAGUCGUAGUCCGGAUCGCAGUCUGCAACUCGACUGCAUGAAGUCGGAAUCGCUAGUAAUCGCGGAUCAGAAUGCCGCGGUGAAUACGUUCCCGGGUCUUGUACACACCG
rnacentral:rRNA from 1 species